rnacentral:misc_RNA from 1 species
GAUGAAGAACGCAGCGAAAUGCGAUAAGUAAUGUGAAUUGCAGAGUUCAGUGAAUCAUCGAAUCUUUGAACGCACAUUGCGCCCUGUGGUAUUCCGCAGGGCAUGCCUGUUCGAGCGUCAUUUCAACCCUCAAGCCCCGCUUGGUGUUGGGCCCCGCCCGCUGUGGCCGGCCCUAAAGACAGUGGCGGCGCCGCCUGGCCCUCAGCGUAGUACAUCUCUCGCUCCAGGGUCCGGUGGCCGCCUGCCAGAACCCCCCAACUCUGUGGUUGACCUCGGAUCAGGUAGGGAUACCCGCUGAACUUAAGCAUAUCAAUAAGCGGAGGA